AUUGAACGCUGGCGGCAGGCCUAACACAUGCAAGUCGAGCGGAGCUGCGGACGGGCGAGUAAUGCCUAGGUAUCUGCCUUGCCGUUAGGGCUAACGUCCAGUAACGGGCCCUAAUACCGCAUACUAUCAGAUGACCCUAGGUCGUAUUAGCUAGUUGGUGGGGUAAAGGCUUACCAAGGCGACGAUCCGUAACUGGUCUGAGAGGAUGAUCAGUCACACUGGAACUGAGACACGGUCCAGACUCCUACGGGAGGCAGCAGUGGGGAAUAGUGGACAAUGGGCGAAAGCCUGAUCCAGCCAUGCCGCGUGUGUGAAGAAGGUCUUCGGAUUGUAAAGCACUUUAAGUUGGGAGGCGUUACCAACAGAAUAAGCACCGGCUAACUUCGUGCCAGCAGCCGCGGUAAUAC
rnacentral:rRNA from 1 species